rnacentral:tRNA from 1 species
GCCGAGGUAGCCAAGCGGUCAACGGCGAUGGACUCAAGAUCCAUUCUCGUAGGGGUUCGCGAGUUCGAAUCUCGCCCUCGGCACCA